CCUACGGGAGGCAGCAGUGGGGAAUUUUGGACAAUGGACGCAAGUCUGAUCCAGCCAUGCCGCGUGUGGGAAGAAGGCCUUCGGGUUGUAAACCACUUUUGUCAGGGAAGAAACGGCUCUUACUAAUAUUAGGAGCUAAUGACGGUACCUGAAGAAUAAGCACCGGCUAACUACGUGCCAGCAGCCGCGGUAAUACGUAGGGUGCAAGCGUUAAUCGGAAUUACUGGGCGUAAAGCGUGCGCAGGCGGUUAUGCAAGACAGAUGUGAAAUCCCCGGGCUCAACCUGGGAACUGCAUUUGUGACUGCAUAGCUAGAGUACGGUAGAGGGGGAUGGAAUUCCGCGUGUAGCAGUGAAAUGCGUAGAUAUGCGGAGGAACACCGAUGGCGAAGGCAAUCCCCCUGGACCUGUACUGACGCUCAUGCACGAAAGCGUGGGGAGCAAACAGGAUUAGAUACCCUGGUAGUCCACGCCCUAAACCGAUGUCAACUGGUUGUUGGGAGGGUUUCUUCUCAGUACGUAGCUAACGCGUGAAGUUGACCGCCUGGGGAGUCGGCGCAGUUGAACUUAAGGAAUUG
rnacentral:rRNA from 1 species